UUUGAGCAAUGCCAAAUGAUCUGUUUGGUUUCCUAAUGCCACUGCCACAAUUUUGUUAGGACCAAACCACAUCAAAUUUAAAGUAAACAAAAAAAGAAGAUGAAGGCAGAAAGAAAAAGGCUUCAUUUGGUGGAAUAGUAAGAGGUUUAUGCUAUAUGGUGUUAUUUGGAUUUCAUAAUUAUAGAGUAAUACAUAAGAAGCAUGCAUAUAAGUACUGG
rnacentral:lncRNA from 1 species